UUCAUUUGAAUCAAACACAAGUAGUCUAUUACAUUUACAUUCAUUUACCAAUUCAUUUACAUCACGUUUUCCUUUAACCAAAAUACAUGAUUUACAUCAUUCUUACAUUACCCAAAAUAUAAUUUACAUUUCUUGCUUUACAUCAUUUACAGUUCAACACCUACAGUUGNCUUUAACCAAAAUACAUGAUUUACAUCAUUCUUACAUUACCCAAAAUAUAAUUUACAUUUCUUGCUUUACAUCAUUUACAGUUCAACACCUACAGUUGAGUACACCAAAAUGUAGGGUAUGCCUAUAUCUUGAGGGCCGCUAGCUACGGUGCAACACCCUUGCCUCGAUCCUCUGCCGCCCCGCUCGCGCACGGAUCUGCAGGGUUAGUGGUAAUGAGAACUAGAACGAAUUUUCCAGUGGGUUCGGCCGCCGACCGCGCUGAUUCGCCCACUAGGUCUAAUUCAGGUAUAUGUAUUUCAAUAAAGAAGGAUAACAAACCAACUAAUGCACUUCUAAUACAAUGUCUACAAGAAAGCAAUCCACAGAUAGAUAUUCAUAUUCAAAUACAUGAUAAUUAUGCAUGCAUGUCCAUUUCUCAUUUUUCCUUUGGCCUUCACCCAAUCAACCCGGGGUGCUCCUGGUUUACCCCAACUCACAACCCAUAUAUCCCGUCUAACGGGGGAGGCACAAGGCUCAACCGCCCGAGGGAUCUUCGCCGGGCACUCUCACCCGUGGUGUCUACACUCCGGAGUACACCGCUUGUGGAGGAGCGACCUCCCACAAGCCGGAAUCAAUACGUGUGAGUAUGAUUCCAUCCUCAAUUUGCGGAGGUAUAGCCAAACCUGUCUCAUGCCUCAAUAUCUCAAUGCUAAUGAUAGGUUCUACCAUAUCAUAUAUACCACCAAUAUGAGCCACAAUGCUCCUGAUGCCAUAAUACACAUAAUGUCACUUGGGUUAAACCCUGUUUAACUAUACUCAUUUCAAUGUCAAUCGAGUCACUAUAGUCAAUGUCACUGUUAUUUACUAUGGUCAAAGUCUUUUCUCACAUUCACAUGCAUAUAGGGUUAAUCGUUUCCUUUGUUCACAUGGUUUCUACAUCAUUCACAAUAAUCUUAUGCAGAUAAUUGAUGCAAUCAACACAUACUAUUCAUUACCCAACAUGCAAGAAUGCUAUAAUACCAACAUGCUCAAAAGUAGUGACAUAGACAUAGAAAGAGACUCGGUAUGUUCGGAUAGCACCCCCACCUUCGUGUGAUACAAGGAUGCCGUGGUUCUGUUUUCACGAUUUUUAGACACUUUCGCCGCAAGCUGCGGCAAUCUGUACCAAUUCGGCUUCUUUUUUCAAUAUCUUCGCGUACGCUCGUCGUAUCGCCGAACCGAGCGCACCGAUGCGUUCGUUGACCUACCAAUUAAGUUAGAAUGAGAUCAAUCUCAAGCUUCGACCUUAUCUUUACGAAACCCCAAAUUUGGGUCCCUAUACAACAUCAUCUUCUCCAUUUUAGGUACUCAACAAAAAGAAAAUGGAGAGAAUCCACUAUAGAGAUCUCUAGAUGCUUCAACUAGAAGCAAAAAUCCAAAACCUAACUUAAAAUUACAAGAACUCACCUUUGGAGUCCAAAGCUUUCCUUCAAAGCCUUGCUCUAGCUUGCUCUACACCUUGGAGAGCUUCUUCUCCAAGCUUGCUUCUCCAAAAGCCCUCUUGGUCCAAGCCCUAGAGAGAGAGGGAGAGGGAGAGGGAGAGGAGAGGUUUUUAGAGAGAGAGAGAGAGAGGGAGAAGUUUUGUGUUUAGGUAUGAGGGGAAUGAGAGCUAACCCUAACUCUCCCCUCAUAACAUCCAACCCAUGCUACAAUUGCACUUAAGCCGCUCUCAUUUGUAUUUUUGCAAACAGCCCUUACUGGGCAAAUUUCGAGCUCGGGGACCGGUCUCUCGAGUAAGGGACCGGUUCCCGAGAGCUACCCCGCAGCCCUCGCAGAAGGGGACCAGUCUCCCCCCGAUGCAACCGGUCUCUCGAGACCGGUCUCUCACCCAGGGACCGGUUCCCGAGAGCUCGAUUUCAGGACUUAACCGAUUUUUUCCUCUGCUCGGCGGAUACGCUUUCGGGGACCGGUCUCUCCCCUCAGGGACCGGUCCCCAAGAGCCCAAAAUCUGGGACUUAGCCAGAUUUUGCAAUUUCACUCUCUCGGGUCCCUUUAACAUUUAUAUAGGUUCCAAUACACUCUUAGCCUAUAGUAACACAUUCCACUCCGCGUUCCGCACAUUUCGACGGAACUCGGCACGACUCACGGGGAAUUGCUAUGUUACAUUCCCCACCCACUAAAAACUGUUAUGGCCGCGAAACUUAAACACAUACCUUAGUCCACUUGCUCAAACAGGUGAGGAUACACCUAGCGCAUUUUCUCCUCGUGCUUCCACGUGGAUUCGCGCCUCGAGUGAUUACUCCAUUGUAUUUUUACAUACAGAAUAGUCCGAUUCUGUAGUUUCCGCUCCUCUCGAGCAAGAAUACUCACCAGAAAUUCUUCAUAAGUGACAUCCUCGUGUAACUCCACCGGCUCGUACUCCAAUACAUGCGAGGAGUUCCGAAAAUACUUUAGAAGAUUCGAAACGUGAAAUACAUUGUGCACUCCCGCAAGCUUCGGCGGUAAUGCUAACUUGUACGCCACGGGCCCGAUUCGCUCUAGAACCUCAUAGGGCCCAAUAUAUCGGGGACUAAGUUUCCCCCAAAGACCAAACCGCUUCAUUCCUUUCAUAGGCGACACUUUGAGAAACACUCGAUCGCCAACCGCAAAUUCUAAAUCCUUCCGUCGCUUAUUCGCAUAGCUUCAUUGCCGUGAUUGUGCCGUCAUCAGCUUCUCAUGAGCAAUGCGGACCUUCCCUUCCGCUUCUCGCACCACAUCUAGACCAAGGGCGACGCUUUCACCCACUUCACUUCAAUGGAUAGGAGAACAGCACUUCCGUCCAUACAAUGCCUCAAAUGGCGCCAUCGCUAUACUCUCCUGAAAACUGUUAUUAUAAGCGAACUCCACCAUCGGCAAAUACUCAUGCCACCCUCCACGAUAGUCAAGCACACAUGCUCGCAACAUGUCCUCGAGUAUCUGAAUUGUCCUCUCGGAUUGUCCGUCACUCUGAGGAUGAAACGCCGUACUGAAAUCGAGUCGCGUGCCUAGAGCAUCCUGCAAGCUCUUCCAUAAAUGAGAAGUGAAUCGGGGGUCUCGAUCUGAUACAAUCGACACGGGAACCCCAUGCAAUCUCACUAUCUCAUCCAAGUAAACCUGGGCUAACUUGUCUCCUGACCACGUGGUGUGGAUCGGCAAGAAAUGAGCCGAUUUCGUCAAACGGUCCACAACCACCCAUAUGGCGUCGUGUCCAGCUUGCGAUCGGAGUAGUCCGACCACAAAGUCCAUCGCGAUAUCCUCUCAGUUCCACACCGAAAUUGGUAAGCUCUACAACUUUCCGCGGAAAAUCGACGCUGGGCUUUUACUUGUUGGCACGUCAAGCACUGCGCCGCGAACUCUCCAAUGUCCUUCUUCAUACCCGGCCACCAAUAAUGCAUCUUCAGAUCUUUGUACAUCUUAGUGCCGCCUGGGUGGAUACUAUACAGGGAAUGAUGCGCCUCUUGCAACACCAUCUUGCAAAUCUCAUCGUCCUUGGGUACGCACAAUCGGUUUCUGAAUCGAAGUGCACUGCCAGGUUCCACGCCGAAGUCGCCGGCGUGUCCACCGUCAAUGUCAUUCCGCACCUUUUGAAUAUACGGAUCAUCAACUUGCUGCUCCUUGGUUCGCUCCAACAAGGUCGGUCGAACCACUAGUGCCGCCAAGAUAGUCGGAACUUCCGGCGCCGCUACCUCCAACCCAAACCGUUGCAUUUCCUUAUGCAAUGACGGUUGACUAGUAAUCGUCGUCGCCAAGUUCUCAACCGAUUUCCUACUCAGCGCAUCGGCCACCACAUUGACUUUACCGGGGUGGUACAGGAUAGUAAGAUCAUAAUCUUUUAUGCGCUAUGUCCAUAUCAUGCGUCUUAGCAAACGAUGCAUCAAUAAAUGAAUGCGAUGCGCCCGUGUCAAAUAAUGCUCUCGCCCUAAUGCCAUCAAUCAGAAUAAUACCUGCCAGGACGUCGUCGGGUACAGCAUGCUGCUCCUCCACCUGAGUGGCGAAAACCAGUCCACUCGGUGCACGUGAUCCCUCCGGCUGACACGGUGAUGAAGUGCCCGACAUGGCAGGUGGCAGUCCUGCAAGCUGUCAUGGAGCAUACUGAGCCGAAGCAGCUGACGGAGCAGGUGACGCGCCGCCCGGGCAAUCCCAUCUCAAGUGUCCCACUUGGCCGCAUCGGAAACACCUCCCAUCACGCUGAGAACAUUCAUUCGACCUAUGAUUCCCACCGCAGAUCACGCACGGAAAGGAACUCGUCUGACUCCUUGACUGGCUCCUAUCUCGCCGCCACUGCGAUCUAGGAUACCAAGGGGUUCGCUUGGAACUCAAUUGCCCCGCGGACCCACCAGCCGGUCGCUUCUUGGACUUCACCUUGUCCUUAUCCCUUUCAAUCGCCUCGCGUUCCUCGCGCGCAAUGGCGUUGCCGCGCUCUACCCACAACGUACGAUCGAGCACCUCUUCAUAGAUCUUUAGCCGGAGCGCAUGAAUAGUUUUGAAUAUCUCCGGCCGCAACCCGCGCUCAAAGACCUCCGCCCGAUCCCGGUCACCAUGAACCAAGCCGGGAACACAGUUAACCAUGUGCGAGAACUCCCUUUCAUACUCCCGCACCGAUCGGCUUCCUUGCCUUAACUUGCGAAAGUCCUCCUUGAUCUUUCGCUUGUCACUUUCCGGAAAGUACUCCAUCAGUAGAAUCUCCCGGAAUGCCUCGCAAGUCAUAAUAGCCGGAUCCAAAGACCGACCGUUCUUCACUCGCGUCCACCAUGAUCUAGCCGGCCCCUCUAAACAGUGAGCCGCCAAACGAACCUUGUCCUUCUCGAGGGUGUAGACAUCCUCGAACAACGCCUCCAUCGCGGAAAGCCACGCCUCCAUCAACCAUGGGUCUUUCACAUCACCCGCAAAGGUCGGAGGGUUAAACCGUUUGAAGGCCGUCAACACCGCCAACGACCGCUCCUGCUCGGCUUCAAGUACCUCCGGGAUAGGAGCCGAAGAGCCUGAAGCUGUCGGAGGAAUAGCCGUCACCGGUGCCGCCGCCAUCAGCGUAGGUGCUGCAGGUGCGGGCGGCUCCUGAGAUACAGGUGCAGCCGCCGCUGCUUGUCGAGCCACCAACUCAUAUAGCCGCCCUAUCUGCUCCCCUUGCUGUCGCAUAGCCCCAGUCAGAGCUGCUACUUGGGCCCACAACUCACGAACUUUAUCGGAUCCAACUUGCUCUGGCACCUCAUUAGGCAAUGUCGGAGCGGACCGACGCGUAUAACGUCUCGGUGACAUCUGUCCUAAAACGAAACACGCGCGUUAAUACUCGACGUCCGAGACUCUUACUCGUUCCAAAUAACUAUCCAAUCAAGCGAAAGCAAUCAAGUACGUUCAUUUUCUACUAUCGGCAUUAUGUAGUCGUCCGCCCCACAUAAUCCCUUAAAAGAAAACAAACUAUCCCAUGAAUCCAUCUCUGUUUCCGUUUAGAGAAGUUCUAAUCAUAACCCGAUCAAUUAGCCUUCGCCUAUCCAAGUCCACGUUAUACGUGUCCUAAAUUCCUAAAGUUUCUAAUCCUAAGGUCCCUAAGUCCAUCCUAGACUUUUACUUUCACAUCGCUCUGAUAUCACACUAUCUGUCACGCCCCGAGCUCCGCCAAUUUUGUCGGAUUCGAGCACAUGACAGACGCCGAACGGACAGCACCUUCCUUGUCCGCCCAAGGCUCCAACAAUAAGUAUAUUACAAGCAAAUCAAUAAAGAGAAUUGCGAGAUAUACAAGGUUUGCACGAAGGCAAACAACAACCACAAGUGAAAGCAUCGAAACUAUCUAAGCAUCCAAUAUACAAGUCAUUUGAUUUCAUUUGAAUCAAACACAAGUAGUCUAUUACAUUUACAUUCAUUUAUCCAUUCAUUUACAUCACGUUUUUCUUUAACCAAAAUACAUGAUUUACAUCAUUCUUACAUUACCCAAAAUAUAAUUUACAUUUCUUGCUUUACAUCAUUUACAGUUCAACACCUACAGUUGAGUACACCAAAAUGUAGGGUAUGCCUAUAUCUCGAGGGCCGCUAGCUACGGCGCAACACCCUUGCCUCGAUCCUCUGCCGCCCCGCUCGCGCACGGAUCUGCAGGGUUAGUG
rnacentral:lncRNA from 1 species